UGGGGAAUUUUGCGCAAUGGGGGAAACCCUGACGCAGCAACGCCGCGUGGAGGAUGAAGUACUUCGGUACGUAAACUCCUUUCGAUCGGGACGAUUAUGACGGUACCGGAAGAAGAAGCCCCGGCUAACUUCGUGCCAGCAGCCGCGGUAAUACGAGGGGGGCAAGCGUUGUUCGGAAUUAUUGGGCGUAAAGGGUGCGUAGGCGGUUUGGUAAGUCUCUUGUGAAAUCUAUGGGCUCAACUCAUAGACUGCAAGGGAAACUGCCGGGCUUGAGUGUGGGAGAGGUGAGUGGAAUUUCCGGUGUAGCGGUGAAAUGCGUAGAUAUCGGAAGGAACACCUGUGGCGAAAGCGGCUCACUGGACCACAACUGACGCUGAUGCACGAAAGCUAGGGGAGCAAACAGGAUUAGAUACCCUGGUAGUCCUAGCCCUAAACGAUGACUGCUUGGUGUGACGGGUACCCAAUCCCGCCGUGCCGUAGCUAACGCGUUA
rnacentral:rRNA from 1 species